rnacentral:lncRNA from 1 species
UCUCUUAUCAGGGCAAUCGUUGUUAAGGUCAAACAACCUUCUCCUUUACUAUUGUUGCUUUUGCUGGGUACAGAUACAAGUGAUGCAUUGGUGCUACACUAAGAUGAGAUCUCAGACCAACUGGGCACGUUCAAGCACCUCAGCGUACGAGUUGGGCCUUAGCAUUGCCACUCAAUCAUAGAUGUUUGCAUGGAGACCCUUCAAAAAUGUUCAGGCGUUACAACUUUUUGGGGUCACUAACAAAGGGGCAAACUGAGACAAUUAGGUGGAUCGAGCUACAUAUUGGUUGACAGUCAUAUUCCCUUGGUAGAGGUCCUAAAAUUCCUCCUCCUUCUCUUGGCCAUACACAAGGAAACAAUUCUCAAAAAAGGAAUCAAUUAAAACUUCCCAGAUGGUGGGGGAGGCUAAGACGUAUAUCUUGAGUCGCUAGCAAUGUUCGACUUAACCAGUCAACAUAAAGGUGACAAAGGGAACCUCAUGUUCUUCCAUCUGGUCUAAGACAAAGAAGAGCUUUUCAAUUUGUAGAAUCCAAACUUUUACAACCAAAGGGUCAGGUCCACUAUCAAAGUGGGGAGGGUUCAAACUCCUAAAUUCAGUAAUGUUUUGGGAGAUGGAGUGGUCAGCAGGGCAAUAGUCUUGGGUUGA